rnacentral:rRNA from 1 species
AAACCGUGUACGUACAAGCAGUGGGAGCACGCUUAGGCGUGUGACUGCGUACCUUUUGUAUAAUGGGUCAGCGACUUAUAUUCUGUAGCAAGGUUAACCGAAUAGGGGAGCCGAAGGGAAACCGAGUCUUAACUGGGCGUUAAGUUGCAGGGUAUAGACCCGAAACCCGGUGAUCUAGCCAUGGGCAGGUUGAAGGUUGGGUAACACUAACUGGAGGACCGAACCGACUAAUGUUGAAAAAUUAGCGGAUGACUUGUGGCUGGGGGUGAAAGGCCAAUCAAACCGGGAGAUAGCUGGUUCUCCCCGAAAGCUAUUUAGGUAGCGCCUCGUGAAUUCAUCUCCGGGGGUAGAGCACUGUUUCGGCAAGGGGGUCAUCCCGACUUACCAACCCGAUGCAAACUGCGAAUACCGGAGAAUGUUAUCACGGGAGACACACGGCGGGUGCUAACGUCCGUCGUGAAGAGGGAAACAACCCAGACCGCCAGCUAAGGUCCCAAAGUCAUGGUUAAGUGGGAAACGAUGUGGGAAGGCCCAGACAGCCAGGAUGUUGGCUUAGAAGCAGCCAUCAUUUAAAGAAAGCGUAAUAGCUCACUGGUCGAGUCGGCCUGCGCGGAAGAUGUAACGGGGCUAAACCAUGCAC